GGAUGUGAGGGCAAUCUGGUUGUGACAUCUGUCACCCCAUUGAUCAUCAGGGUUGAUUCAGCUGAUCUAGCUGGCUAGGCCAGUGUCCCCUUCCUCCCUCAUGGCUCCAUGUGCGCCACCCGCCCCCCCCCCCCCCCAGCUCCCCGCCAACCAAGGCUGCAUGCUCAGUUGAAGAGGACAACCAUCCCUGAUGGAGGAGGACUGCUCUUCGGUCAAGGGUAUACGAGUCGCUGUGCUCCCCUGCUAGAACCUUCAAGCAAGCUCUCAAGGAAUAAGUGGUAAUCUAAGGAUCAUUAACGUAUUUCCACAGUUACCUGAAGAGCAGAAGAGGAGGUUUGCCUCCUUUACAU
rnacentral:snRNA from 1 species